UGCAAGUCGAACGCCCCGCAAGGGGAGUGGCAGACGGGUGAGUAACGCGUGGGAACAUACCCUUUCCUGCGGAAUAGCUCCGGGAAACUGGAAUUAAUACCGCAUACGCCCUACGGGGGAAAGAUUUAUCGGGGAAGGAUUGGCCCGCGUUGGAUUAGCUAGUUGGUGGGGUAAAGGCCUACCAAGGCGACGAUCCAUAGCUGGUCUGAGAGGAUGAUCAGCCACAUUGGGACUGAGACACGGCCCAA
rnacentral:rRNA from 1 species